AAGACUAUAGACCUGCGGAGUACCUGCGGAAGGAUCAUUAUUGAUUUUCUAGAGAGAUGUGCUGGCAUACAUUUAUGCAUUGUGCACUCUUUCUGAAUCUCACAUCCCCCUGUGCACAUUAUGAUAGAUCAAGCUGCUGAGACAAUCUCGGCGACUUGUCUAUGAUUUUUUUACACUACAUGCUCAUGAAAUUGAAGGAUAUAUGUAUAUGUUUAAAACAACUUUUAACAACGGAUCUCU
rnacentral:misc_RNA from 1 species